GUGCAUUGCUGGGCCUCGCCCUGCUGGUGCCAUCACCCAGAGGACGAGUAACCUGGGAGUAGGAAAGGCCUCAGUGUCGGCCCCGAGGACGUGCGUAGGAGCAGGAGGCUGAGUCGCCCUGUGUGGGAUGGAAGGCGGAACCUCACGUCUGUGAAGGGAAGAACGCAUCACUCGGACCACACAUAUCUGGUCUGGUUUGGAGGCCCCGCCACGCCCAGCACUGUGCCUGGGCAUCUGCCUCCUCCUCCUCCUUCCCCUCCUCCCCCUCCUCCCCCUCCCCCUCCUCCCCCUUCUCCCCACACCUGCUCCUGCAUGCUCUAACCCACAAGGCACAGGAAGGAGAAGGUCAGGGCCAAAAUGAGCACGAGUAAUCCUGGCUGCCGUUCCCGGGGCUUCUGAGCUGGCUCUGGGCGGCUCUGCUGCUGAGCCCAACCCCGGAGCGGCCCCUCCCACCUGCAGCACGUAGUCCUCGAAGGCUGGCCUAGCCAGGGGUCCGGGCAAACUGCCAAGGACACAGCCGACAAGCGGCACCGACAAGUGGCACCGACAGGAGCGGCUGCCCGACCCGGAGCUCUGGCCCUCAGCCCCUGCUGUGGAGGGAAUCCCACCCUGCGGGGGCUUCUGCACCUCCCUUAGGUCCAGCAGGGCUCCAGCCAUCUGGGGAGUGAACCAGCGGAUGGAAGACUUCUCUCCCUGUCUCUCCCUCUGUGUAACGCCGACAUUCAAAUAAAUAAAUAUAUCUUUAAAGAAAAAACUUAAAAAGAA